GCGACUCGGUGGGACGGUAGCGCGCUGUAGCAGCCCCGCGCCCUGGCCAGGCUCUUAGUGCAUCCAGGAUCCUGAGCUGCCAGGGGCCUGGCCACUCCCACCCAGAGCCCUGCCUUGGCUGAGCUGUCACUGCUGCAUGUCCCGGGCUGCUGGCCUGCCUGUCUUCUGCAGUGCACAGUGGCUGCCUCUAGGAGAUGGCUACGAGAGUGUCUCCCGCGGCCCACUAGAAGUGUGAGAGUGAGAGGAGCGGCAUGUUGGACCACAGGGUGAGGCUGGGCCCCAUCCCUGUCCCCCACGGCCAGGAGAGAAGACAUGGAUCUGCCCUUGGAGGACUGUGUGCCCAAAGGCCUGGAACUGGCCACCCUAUGGCCAGAGAGCCCCAUGCCUGAGGAGUAGGAGUGCCAAAACCACAGCCCUGAUGGGGACUCCAACUCUAAGUGAACAAUGUCUCUGAGGAGGAAUACUAUGAUGAAGGCCUCCCGGAGAAGGAGGAGGGCAUCACCUGCUACAUCUGCUACUGCCCGAGGACGACAGCUACCUGGAGGGCAUGGGCUGCAGUGGGGAUGAGUAUCUGGUCCAUGGCACUCACCCCAGGGACACCAACACAUGCCAGGGGCAUCCACACAACAUGCCUCUUAACUGGACCAGUGAAGAGCUCUGCUCCCAUUAGAACUGCAAGGCACCCAGCCCCUCCCACCGCUUUGCUUCAGCAUCUGUGGGGGCUGUACCAGGAGGUCCCUUCCUCUCAGGCCCCUCUGCUGCCUUCCCUGGGACAGGAGAAUCCUACUCUGGGACAGGAGAGGAGUGGCUAGACUCGGUGGGCCUGCACCCCCAUGGUCACUGUGCUGAGGGCAGCCAGGACUACCCGGAAGGCCACCUGCCCAAUCUGGAGGACGAGCCCUCUGUCCUGGAGGCCCACGAACAGGAAGAAGAUGGCCACUACUGUCUCAGCAAAGAGGGCUACCAGGACUGCUACCCCACAGAGGCCAACAGGAACACUGGUGCCUCCCACUACCACCUGAGGCAUGGGGACGGGGACAUGGAGGACUAGGAGGAGGACAUUGACCCAAUCGUGGCCAAGAUCAAGAGGAACCUGAGCGUGACUAGCAUCACCAGUGCCAGUGAGGCCAGCAUGGGCCUGAGACUGCAUCUGGGGACUCCACAGAGGCCUGCCUGCCCAGCAAGGCCAGCUGCAGCCCCAGCAGGCACGAAGCGAAACCCAAGUCACUGAACUUCCCUCCUGAGGUCAAGCACCGUGAAGACCCCCAGAGAGGCUUCAAGCCCAAGACUAGGACCCCAGAGGAGAGGCUGAAGUGGCCCCACGAGCAGUGUGUGAUUCUGCGCGGUUUCGUCAGGAGCUAGGCUUCCCAGACUGAGCGAGCGGCGGCUGGCGUCUUAGGCAGAACACUGGAACAGCCCCACGCCCUGUCCAGGGCUGAUUACUGUCCCCAUUGUAUGGAUAGAGGACGUUUUGUUUGCUGUUCAUCCCUCAGGCAUUGAGAAUAUCUUACAUAGUAGAAUCAAAGAAGCCUGUGAGGACUUCAUCUUGGCUGCUCAUGCUCUCUGCACCCCCACCCUUUGUGACAGUUGGGUGGACAGCCUGAAGCUACCUGCUCAUCCUGCAUGGAGCAAAUCGGCCAGGUGCUGGGUGCAGAGGAUGCAAACUGGAGCAGGAGCCAGUUCCUGCCCUCAAAGUGCGGCAAUGACAUGCCAUGUUAGUGCCAGCCUUUCUGGGGCUUUGUAAAGUAAAGGAAAGAGCCUGUAUCUAUCCUGAAGGCUUUGUGACCACAGGCCUUCUAAUGGAUGCUUCUGUGUUCCCAGAGUUAGGUGAGAGCUCUUGGAAGGAUCUCUUUUACCCCAGGUCUACUAAGAAUGGAAAGCCCCUCUGCGUGACUGUCACUGCAGUAGCUGGUGUGAUCAUGUGGUCAUUUACACCAGAGCCUGGGAGUUCGUGGCCUGCCAAGCUCACCUCUCAUACUGAGAUGCCAAUAAAUAUUGUCCAAAGUCGAUACCCAGAAAGAGUUUUAAAAACAGGUGGAAAAUAGCCACCAGUAGAAUUAAAAUCAGAAAUAAUAACAAGGUUGGCCAGUGGAGUUGCUAAGUCCAGAUUGGGGAAUGUGAUGUUUCAUUAUAAGCUCUUUCAGCAUUUGCUUACUUUGGUGUAAGUGAAAGAAUUGUGUCAUUUUUCUGAGGGCCAUGUACAGCAAAGGACUCACCAUCUGUCAGACACACGGGUCAGUUUUCCAGUGUGUCUGACACUCAUUCAUAUGUCCUCAUUCAUAAAGAAGAAUGAGGUCAUGUCCUUCAUAGGAACAUGGAUGGAGCUGGAGGCCAUUAUCCUUAGCAAACUAACAUAGGAAUAGAAACCAAAUUCUGCAUGUUCUCAUGUAAAAUUGAGAGAGCUAAAUGAUAACACAUGGACACAAAGAGGAGAACAACAGGCACUGAGGCCUACCUGAGGGUGAAGAGUUGGAAGAGGGAGAGGAA